UACGACUACAUAUCAGGCAUAUCAAUAAGCGGAGGAAAAGGGUAUGCUGAAAGGUGUUGUCACCUCAGUUACCUUCCUUGGCGUUCAUUACGAGAUCAUCGUGGACAUCAACGGUUUCAAGUGGAUGAUACAGACCACGGACUUUGUGGAUGUGGACGAGCAUAUCGGCCUUACUAUCGAGCCCGACGCCAUACACGUUAUGAAAAAGUCCGAAUACUCCGGUAUGUUCGGUGACUAUUCCUCCUUCUCCAACGAGCUUGACGAGCUGAGUGAUGCGGAAAGUGAGAGCGAAGAGUGAAAAAUAAAAGCCCUCAGCGGCACAUGAGCCUUGUUGACAGGCUCUGUCCCGCACCUUACUCCUUCUGGGCGGUGUUUUUCAUAGUUGUGCCGCUCAUCUUCGUGGCAUACUAUGCUUUCACCGACUCUGAUUUCAACUUCACCUUUGAAAAUAUCAGCCGCUUUUUCACCGCCACCUCUCAGGUGGACGGAGAGGAAGUGCGCACCUACCUUGUCAUUUUCGGCCGUUCGCUGAAGCUGGCAGUGAUAUCCACGCUCAUCUGCCUUCUGAUGGGCUACCCCAUGGCCUAUAUCAUCUCCCGCUCCAAGGCCAAGACCCAGAGCAUCCUCAUCACGCUGAUAAUGAUCCCCAUGUGGAUGAACUUCCUUAUCCGUACCUACGCUUAGGAUGUUGAGUAGCGACAUACGCAC
rnacentral:rRNA from 1 species